rnacentral:rRNA from 1 species
CCGUAGGAGAACAUGCGGAACUCUUGUCGAUAAGCGGACGAAGAUUCCGAAAAUUUUGAAUAAAUCUAAACUUUCAACAACGGAUCUCUUGGUUCUCGCAUCGAUGAAGAACGCAGCGAAAUGCGAUAAGUAAUGUGAAUUGCAGAAUUCAGUGAAUCAUCGAAUCUUUGAACGCACAUUGCGCCCCUUGGUAUUCCGAGGGGCAUGCCUGUUCGAGCGUCAUUACACCACUCAAGCUAUGCUUGGUAUUGGGCGUCGUCCUUAGUUGGGCGCGCCUUAAAGACCUCGGCGAGGCCACUCCGGCUUUAGGCGUAGUAGAAUUUAUUCGAACGUCUGUCAAAGGAGAGGAACUCUGCCGACUGAAACCUUUAUUUUUCUAGGUUGACCUCGGAUCAGGUAGGGAUACCCGCUGAACUUAAGCAUAUCAAUAGCC